UUUGAUUAAUGCUCUAUACUCUUUUUAACUCACAUGAGAUUUUAAGAAAAGCUCCGGCGGUAAAAGAUGGGCAUGCGUCCUAUUAGCUUGUAGGUGAGGUAACGGCUCACCUAAGCUCCGAUAGGUAGGGGUCCUGAGAGGGAGAUCCCCCACACUGGUACUGAGACACGGACCAGACUCCUACGGGAGGCAGCAGUGAGGAAUAUUGGACAAUGGAGGCAACUCUGAUCCAGCCAUGCCGCGUGCAGGAAGACGGCCCUACGGGUUGUAAACUGCUUUUAUACAGGAAGAACUAUAGCUACGUGUAGAUAUUU
rnacentral:rRNA from 1 species